rnacentral:rRNA from 1 species
UACGUAGGAGGCGAGCGUUGUCCGGAUUUACUGGGCGUAAAGAGCGCGCAGGCGGCACACCAAGUACGGAGUGAAAUCUCCCUGCUCAACGGGGAGGGUGCUCUGUAAACUGGUGAGCUAGAGGGCGGCAGAGGGGGGUGGAAUUCCCGGUGUAGUGGUGAAAUGCGUAGAUAUCGGGAGGAACACCAGUGGCGAAGGCAGCUUGCUGGGACGGUACUGACGCUGAGGCGCGAAAGCGUGGGGAGCAAACAGG